UCAGGCACAACUGUAGGCACUGGAGUAGGAGCAGUGAAGAAGAUAAACCAACUCUCUUCCUCCUCGGGCUCUAUGUUCUAGUGGAGGGACAGACGAUAAUGAAUAAAGACAUAACGCCUCUGACGUGCCUAAGGCUGUAUUUCAAGCUCCGUGGAGUUAGCUCGUCCCAGCUCACAGACCCCGGAAGUGGCCGCAGUCCCGUUCGAAGGUCUCAAGCUCCGCCACCAGAUCUCGCGCGAUCUGAUCCCGCGAGGCCUGCAGAUGGCAUGCGCCUGCGCAGACCCUCACCCCAGCCGACUCCUGCCCAGACAUGUUCCAUCCUUCCCGCUGGACGAGACGGGUUUGAGAAUUGUUUCUCCUCUUCUCGCUUGUUCACCUUGUGAAUAAACUUGUUUCUCUCCUGCAAAGA